rnacentral:misc_RNA from 1 species
AACCAUAGAAACCUGCGGAGUACCUGCGGAAGGAUCAUUAACGAAAAUAUAUAACUUUUUUAAUGGUAUUAAUACUUUUGAAGUAUUAAUAUUAUUAAAAUAAGCACUUUUUAAGUGAUUUUGUUAAAGUCUUUAACCUUUACUCUUUCUAUCUCUUUCUUUGAGAGAGAGAGUGUUUGAGAGAGUAUUUAGGUUAUUUAACUCCUUUAACAAUAAGUCUUAUAACCUUUUUGUUGCUAA